UACGGAGGGUGCAAGCGUUGUCCGGAUUUAUUGGGUUUAAAGGGUGCGUAGGCGGCUGAUUAAGUCUGGGGUGAAAGCCCGUUGCUCAACAACGGAACUGCCCUGGAAACUGGUUAGCUUGAGUACAGACGAGGGUGGCGGAAUGGAUACUGUAGCGGUGAAAUGCAUAGAUAGUAUCCAGAACCCCCGAUUGCGAAGGCAGCUGCCUAGACUGUAACUGACGCUGAGGCACGAAAGCGUGGGGAGCGAACAGG
rnacentral:rRNA from 1 species